rnacentral:rRNA from 1 species
AUGCACGCCGGAGGCGUGCCUCAUCCCUGCCAGUCGAGCGAACAGACGAGGAGCUUGCUCCUCUGACGUUAGCGGCGGACGGGUGAGUAACACGUGGAUAACCUACCUAUAAGACUGGGAUAACUUCGGGAAACCGGAGCUAAUACCGGAUAAUAUAUUGAACCGCAUGGUUCAAUAGUGAAAGACGGUUUUGCUGUCACUUAUAGAUGGAUCCGCGCCGCAUUAGCUAGUUGGUAAGGUAACGGCUUACCAAGGCAACGAUGCGUAGCCGACCUGAGAGGGUGAUCGGCCACACUGGAACUGAGACACGGUCCAGACUCCUACGGGAGGCAGCAGUAGGGAAUCUUCCGCAAUGGGCGAAAGCCUGACGGAGCAACGCCGCGUGAGUGAUGAAGGUCUUCGGAUCGUAAAACUCUGUUAUUAGGGAAGAACAAAUGUGUAAGUAACUAUGCACGUCUUGACGGUACCUAAUCAGAAAGCCACGGCUAACUACGUG